rnacentral:miRNA from 1 species
GGUUUAGGUAGUUUCAUGUUGUUGGGAU